rnacentral:lncRNA from 1 species
CCUUCGUGAGUAUAUCAGCCACCAUUGCCUCCAUUUUGGACUUGUUCCCCGAUGUGUUUCGUCCGAGAAUGGAAGCGAGGAUUGGCGGCCAGUGCAAGAGCACUUUGGUUGUCCGGGAACAUGGAAUCCGGGGCAGGUCACGGCAGAACGGUCAACCGAAUCGCUUCUUUGCUGGCAGCGGUUAGGACAAUGUACUCUGCCUCUGUCGAGAACAGAGCCACCAGCGGCUGGCGCAUACUGCUCCAGGACACAGCAGCCCCAUGGAGCAAGAAGGGAGAGCGCCUUGAGUCCUGGUCGCCCGCCCAGUCCGCAUCCGAGUACCCAUGAAGUUCCUGUGACACAGCAGCGCCAUAGUGAAGCUGCAAAUGCAAGGUACCUCGAACGUAGUGGAAAAUCCGCUUCACAGCUUGCCAAUGUGUAGGUCCGGGGUUCUCGAGGAACUGGGAGACCAUCCCAACAGCAUAGGCGAGAUCUGGUCGCGUCCCCAGCAUCAAAUAAACGAGACUCCCCACAGCUUGACGAUAAGGCACCGUGGCCAUGUACUCUCGUUCUUCCUCUGUGACAGGGGCCAUGUCACGGCUGAGUUUGUGAUUGACGUCAAGAGGUGUGGCCACGGGAGAACAGUCCAGCAUAUUGAAGCGUUCGAAGAUCUCCCUUGCAUAGUGAGCUUGUGUCAAGCUCAAAGUGCGUGCUCCUCGAUUGCGUAUAAUUUGGAUGCCAAGGAAAUGGCGAAGCUCGCCCAGGUCAGACAUCUCAAAUUCUUCACUCAUCUUCUUUUUCAUCUCGUCCAGCAGGUGGCGGGUUUUUGCACCGAGAAUGCAGUCAUCAACGUACACAGCAACCAGGAGAAAAUCGUCACCACACUUGUACAGGUACACGUUUCCUUCCACUGCAAGAGGAACACACCCCAGGCUCUUGAGAAACGCAUCAAUGCGUUCAAACCAAACCCUCGGGGAUUGUUUAAGCCCAUACAGGGUGCGAUUCAGCUUGCAAACAAGAUGUUUCUCACCAGGUUUGACGAAUCCAGGUGGUUGCGUGAUGUAGACCUCGUUCAACUUGCCGUGCAGGAAAGCAGUGCGAACGUCCA